GGAAGCUUUCUGAAAGAAAGAUGAAGCUUUAAAUGAUAAUGAUUUUCUUUAUUGUGGGAAAGCAGAAAAAUUGGUCUGUAACUGGAUCACAGAUGAUUAUCUCCCCUUUUAUAUUUACUGCAUCUAAUUACCCUCUUCAGAGUUUUGUUAAUUAAAUUCAAUUUUAUUUAUACAGUGCGAAAUCACAACAACAGUCGCCUCAAAGUGCUUUAUAUUGUAAGGUAGAACCUAUACUUAAUUGUAUAGUUUGUAUUGUUUUUAUUACAAAGCAUUGUUCAUUUUAAAGCCUAAUGUGUUUUGCUAGGAUCAUCAUAUUUAAAAUGUAAGGAGCCAGAUAACCUCAAGGAGGUGGGCAGGGAGAGGAAGGUCUGAGCUCCUUGUCCCGGCGCCCGGAUAAGAAUAAGGACCCAAACAACGCAGAGAAAACAUUAAACUAACUAAAGGUCACAGUUUCUGAAGUUAAAAACAUGUUUUCUGUGGUGCGAGGGAUGCUUUCCACCAACAGACAGGGCAACUCCUUCUCCAUUUCUAUUGGUCCUUUUAACUUUAAACUACUCAAAUCCAUCUAGUCCCACAUCAUAGUCUUUGUUAUUAGUCUCAGAUACAGCACAAACAUUCAACUCUGUGAACUGAUAUAAAUAUUCCUGUUUUGUGCAGUUUCUGCAUCCUUCUACUGUUGGUGUGUAUGACUGAUAGAGCACCUGCCAUUUCCACAUUACUGUUGAAAAGCUCAUCUGAGUAAUACUCAAAGUCAUGUUUCAUGUUGUUGUGGUUUUCUGGAUCAGUGACUUUCUAAAUCUGUGUAUGAAUCAAAAUGUAUUCAUGUUGUGCACAUUUCUGUCCAAAUAGUUUCAUGUUUGUGUGAAGGGGAACAUGGAUUUGUGAGUUUCAUUUACAUACAGUUUUUGCUAUUCCUCCACUGAUCAUGCAUUACACAUUUACAACUAUUUUAAAGUCAGUUCUCUCCACUGUGUACAGUUGAAAAUGUUAAAAUGAUCCAGCUUAACUAACACUAAAACACAGUGCUGUUGAAUCUUGUUUAUUUAAAUCUAUCUAGAAAACAAAGUGCACAUCACACAGAAUGAGCCAGAAACAGAAUUUUUAAAAGCUAGACUGCUUGCUUCACCCACCGUUCCCACGUCUGACUAUGUCUCAUUUCCUGCAGGCAGCACACUCUGCAGACAGAACAUAAUACAUGUGGUACAUACAUACAGUAAUAUUUCCACCCACAGCUUCCUGUUUACCACAGGUGGGCAACUUCAGCUCUUCUAUGUAUACAUUUAAUCUGGGGCAGCAUAAACAUAAGACAACAUAAGACAUAAAACCUAAAAAGAAAAUUAAAACAUAAUAUGACAUACAACAUUUCAGAUCUGUUCAUAGAUGGUAGAAGCCUUACUGAGCAUUCAACAGCAGCAAACUGUCUUCACUGUUUGUCUUGAUGGAUGCUCAAUCAUCCAGGUAAGUAAAUCUCCAAAAAUUGAAUCUGUUCAUCUGGACGUAGCGUUUUCAGUGGGAGAAACGUUUCGUCACUCAUCCAAGUGACGUCUUCAGUCUCAGCUGACUGCAGGUUUCCCCAAUCUUAUAAACAGGACAUUUUAAUUUUUUUACAUGUUUUUUUACAUUAGUGUCUGUCAUAAUAUCAUCCCUGUAGCUGCAAUCUUCGGUCCUUCUUUGCCGCUUCUACAGGACAUAAGGUUUCUGACUCGUGCCUUUCUUAGAUGGCUUGUAUACCUUUCGGUCGCAAAAAGAAGGCGAAUAUAAAAAAGGAAAACAUUUAUUUGCUCCAUACAAACCGAAAGAACAAAACAAAUGCCUCCAGCGGGGGCUCCUUUUACAUUUCUGUUCUGUUAUAACUAAACAACAAUAACCAACAACGAUCAGAAAACCAUUGCUCCACGUCCUGCUUACUUGCUUAACCUUUCAUCGUACCUAACACACCCCCUUUACAACACCUACCAACACUUUACAACAAGCCAAUAGAUUAACAAAGCAGGACAAAUUUGUGGAGCAUAUUAUUUUACAUUACAACAUAAAACAAUCAAGAUUAUGAAUAGAAACUCAAAUUAAAGAUCAUAGCAAAAUACUUAAAUAUGGCCCGAAGUAUUUGAGGCCUAAACUGUCUAAUCUCCAACAAUCCCCACUGCACGAGUUGUGACAUUCCUGAACCUGAAACAGUGGGUGGACAGAUCAAUCUGCGCUCCAGUGGACACCAGGACCACCUACAAUGCCGGUCUCGCCACUGGCCAUAUGCGCGCCAAAGCUGCUUCAUACAGCUUGCGUCAUGUAGUGAGGGAUGCCAAACACUGACGACACAGUGGUGUUGGGCACCAUCUCCAACAAGGCAGCCUACAUGGAUGAAGGGAAGGCUCUGACAUCGUGGUGCCAAGGACAUUCUUCUUCUUCUUCUUAAAAACACAGAUGAAACAUUAUGUUCAGCUACUUUCAAUACUAUUAAUAUUUCCUUAGGCUCUUUCUCUUUAAUUGAUCUUUUUGAGUUAACUUCAAUAAUGACUUCCUCCAAGCCAUCAAUGUGACUUUUAGACCCCAUUCCUACAAGACUGCCCAAAGAAGUCCUGCCAUUAAUUAAUUAAUCUAUUUCUAUUAAUGGACUACAUACUACAUAAUUUUAAGGUGGAAGUUAUAAUUAUCCAUUAUAUUCACAUGAUGGCAGAACUACUGGGACCCGCCCAUCUGGUGGGCAAAAACAGUAAUGUGGCCAUUUGCCCUCCAGCCUUCCUUUAAACAUCUUUGAGCUUAACUUCCAGAAAGCUGUCUUGCUCUUAGUUGUGUUUUUUUACAGGUGACAGAAAAGCUCAGAGUACAGCACCAACAUGUGAACACAGCUUUCCUAACCCCAGCUUACAGGCCAAAUCAAACCAAGUGCCCUGUUUUUCAUGUAGUAUUUGUCCAAAUCAACAUAGUUCAAGAAUUACUUAUGGUAGUUUGUUCAAGCUAGCUACCGUUGUUUUAACUAUUCUUCUUCUUGUUCUCAUCCAGAUGUAAAAAUACACAUAGCUGUCUGUACUAUGUAAGCUCUCAUCCUGGCAGCAGUGUAAAGCGAGCGAUUCUCUCCAAGAUACAUGUAGAUGUCACUGAACUGGAGUUCUGGGAAUUUCCCUGGUAGCUACUCGGUCCUUGCUCGGACGUUUAGGGGGGGUUUUUUCGCUGUAAAAAGAAGUUUUCUUCCCACGCAGUGAACGGCGGACGCUAAUGUUUUUGUCACUUUUUACAGAAUCAAACUCAAAGUAAGUUUAACGGCGCAGUGGAUUGAUGAGGAGUUUGUUUGUCAUCAAGUAACACUACAUGCAAAGUCGUUCAGGGGCUCGCACACCAGCCAAACCAUCGCAACUGCUUUCGAUACCAUGCUUCAAACCUGGGAUAUACCAAAGAUGUCCGUCCACAUAGUGCUCCGGGACAACGCAAGAAAUAUGAUAAAGGCCAUGAGUGAUGCUGAGCUGCCCAGCCUACCUUGUACUGCUCACACUCUCCAGUUGGUUGUUCAUGAGGGCCUUCUGUCACUGAAGAGUGUUGCUGAUGCAGUGGCAGUUGGCUGCAAAAUAGUUGGACAUUUUAAACAUUCUGCUCUAGCCAUCUCCCGUCUCGAGGACAUUCAAUUACAGAUCAACCAGCCCGUGAAGCAGCUCCAGCAAGGCGUUCAGACCCGCUGGAACAGCACCUUUUAUAUGAUACAGUCAUUGAUCGAGCAGAAACGGGCUCUGGGAAUAUUUGUGUCUGAAUAUGGACUCCCUGAUACUCUCACAGCUCACCAGUGGACACUGCUGGAGAAGGUGAUAUCUGUUCUAGGUCCAUUCGAGGAGUUAACUCAAAAAGUCAGCUCUUCAGAUGCCAUGGCUGCAGACGUCAUUCCAGCCGUCACUGUGCUCCACAGAUUUCUAACAAGGGAGACUGAUGACGACCAUGGGAUCAAAGCAAUGAAGGGAACCUUGGCUGCAGUUGUCAGGACGCGGUUCACUGACGUGGAGGAAAACCCACUCUAUAGCAUCGCCACGCUACUCGAUCCCAGAUAUAAAAACCAUUUUUCUCCAGCACCACAACUGCUGCAAAUGCCAAGGAGAUGCUAAAACUUGAGCUGCUAAGGUUGCCUGGAGACAAGCAGGAGGAUCAACACCUGAAUGAACCACCUUCAAGAAAAGCACGCAGUGACCAGCCCACAACUAGUCUGGACAGCAUGUUUGAUGAAAUUGCAGAUGAGCAGGCAUCAGCAUCGGUGGGCAGUGCUGCGGAGGCGCUGAAAGGUUUCCCUAAUAGUUCCUGGUGAAUCAAAGCAGAACCAUAAAGGUUGCUGGACUGCAUGAUGGCCUUACCCCUGAGAGGUCAUCCUGUUAAAGGAGGAACCAGUUAGAAGCUGUUUUCAAAGUAGCUGAGCAGAUUUCAUCUCAACAGACAAAGCUGAUGGCAGAAGGUGUUUGGAGAAGAACUUCUGGCCGUGGACUGAAAAGUAGAUCAAAGCAGCUCGUGCUCUGUCUGCUUCCAUUCUGAUGGGAAGAAGAAGAAGAAGGAGAAGAAUGCUUCAGCGAAGUGGCGUUCAUGGUCUCAGUGGACAGUCAUGGUCACACACUGCAUGUGGUUUUAAAAGCAACAUUGUUCACCACAACAAUGGAGAUGUGUAAUAUUAGUGCAGCUACGGUUUGUUCUUGAACAUCAGUUCUGUUUUCUACUUUGACCACUUAGACCAAAAAAAGUGUUGUUUUCAGAUUCUUUCUUUUUAAAUCUAUAAAGCACCUGUUCAUUUUUUAUUACAAUUAGUUUCACAUAAAUGUUAGUGUUUCCUUUAUGAUCUUUUAAUGCUUACACUACACUGUACACGUCUACGUUAGAGACAUUUCUGUUACCUAUGUAUGAGACUGGGCUGCUUGACUACGAUUUGGAAAUGGAUGCAAAAUCACACAGAUCGUGCUAUUGUUUGUUUUUUAAUAUGAUGGACUGAACACAGGAGGUAUCUGACUAAGCAAAGAUUAAUCUGAGCCCAUUUCUACCUGUUUCUGCUGUUUCAACUGUAACUGUCAGGAUAUAUAUUUAUUCCAGCUCUCAUAGGGCAAAGAAAUGACUCAGACUUGUCAAAUGUUCUUUGAUUUGAUACACAAUAUGAAGUUCACAAUUUUCUUACAAUUAAAACUAUAAUGACAAACAUGAA